GAUGAAGAACGCAGCGAAAUGCGAUAAGUAAUGUGAAUUGCAGAAUUCAGUGAAUCAUCGAAUCUUUGAACGCACAUUGCGCCCCUUGGUAUUCCGAGGGGCAUGCCUGUUCGAGCGUCAUUAUAACCCCUCAAGCUCAGCUUGGUGUUGGGGCCUGCUGCACUGGCAGCCCUUAAAAUCAGUGGCGGCGCCAUCUGGCUCUAAGCGUAGUAAUUCUUCUCGCUAUGGAGUCCUGGUGGAUGCUUGCCAUCAACCCCCAAUUUUUCUAUGGUUGACCUCGGAUCAGGUAGGGAUACCCGCUGAACUUUAGCAUAUCAAUAAGCGGAGGA
rnacentral:misc_RNA from 1 species